rnacentral:rRNA from 1 species
UCCAGCCUACGGGGGGCAGCAGUCGGGAAUAUUGCGCAAUGGAGGAAACUCUGACGCAGUGACGCCGCGUAUAGGAAGAAGCUUUUCGGAAUGUAAACUAUUGUCGUUAGGGAAGAGAAAGGACAGUACCUAAGGAGGAAGCUCCGGCUAACUACGUGCCAGCAGCCGCGGUAAUACGUAGGGAGCGAGCGUUAUCCGGGAUUAUUGGGUGUAAAGGGUGCGUAGACGGGAAA